AUGUUUCUGUUGUCUCCUGCCAGUUUACUUCACAUUUUGAUGCAACAACAGUGUGAUUAUGUGCUCAUUUCAUUAAAACCAUUGAUGUCUGUGUUUUUUAUUGCAGAACUCAAACCAACUUUGGAGUUGUCUGAUUUGGAGAGUCAUUAUUCUUGGUCUGCGCUCUUAGAGGCCACUGAUGAAGAGCAGGCGGUGACUGGGAUGAAUGCUGGUCAGAGAGGAGAAUCUUCUUUCCCCUAAACUGAUGCAGCGGUGGUUUUAAAGGAGGACACGGCCCUGGAUGAUGUAAAAGAUGUCAGAUGCUGUGCUGAUGGGUUUUCUUCAUGAUUACAUCAGUUAUGCUAAAGAGAUCAUGAAAAUUGACCGUGAUGCAUGAUCUGUAUUCAUGGACAAUGAAACAAACUGUAAGUGUAUAAUUUGUUAAAAAAAAAGUUAAAUGCUUUUUCUGUGUUGUUUAGUAGAAAAGUUUACACUCUGUCAUUCAUACACCUGCUCACAUUCUUUCACACACACACACACACACACGCACGCGCGUCUGUUAAAGGUUAUAAUAUCAAAGUUAAUGUUGUGAUUUAUUUGUGUACUGUCAUGCCAGAAUAGUUGGAAAAAAAACUAAUUGUAAAUUUAUUGUAGGUGUUUUCGUAUAUUUUUAUACAAUAUAUACAAUUGAACAAAGUCCAAUUUGAUCUUAAGUUAUAUUCAUCAAAUGUUCAAUGCUUUGUUUAUGAACUCUGUAGCUGUUAAUGCCAUCCUUUUCUGCAUUUCUUCUAACAUGUUACUUUUUGACUUUUCUCUUGUUUUUAAUAAAUAUUUUCCUUUUGGUAAUUAUUAUUUGUGUGUAAAAGUGAUAUUUAAAAUGAACAACAUUUGUAGGUUUAAUGCCUAGCUCAAUUUGGGUUAAUUUUAACGUAGAAAUGCAUUGUUUCCCCACAUGGCUGCACUCUGCGAGUUUAUUUUCUGCCAGCAGGAGGCGCUAAGAGCGGGAGAGGUAGGUUUCUCCGGUAACGGCUGCAGAGCGGUGCUGAGCUCACAAACGCUGCCUUAUCAAGCACAUGCGAAAUGAUAUUGAACAUUUUCUAAAUACAGUAGUUUUCCUUCUGAAAUACAGUGAUAAAAAAAAAACACCCGCUCUGUUUUUUUAAACCCUGCAAUAUAGUCAUUUUAAACCAUAAAAAAGGCAACCCAGCAGGCUGGGUUAAAUAUGAUAACCCAACUGGUUGGGUUAAAACAACCCAGCGCUGGGUUCGUCCCUUUUUGACCCAGCGCUGGGUUGUCAAAAUAACCCAAAUUGGGUUGUUUUCAACCCAGCAGUUUUUAGAGUGUAUGGGGACCUUGGAAUAAGAAUAAAAGAGACUAAUAUUAACGUAGAUGCCAUUCUUCUUAUGAUGUAGCAAGUAGCAUAGGGUGUUAUGGGAAGUGUUCCAGGUUCCGGUUUACCUAAUUAAUGCAACCUAAAAAUCCUUAAACAGAUUUGGAUUAUAGAAAUUUGAUGGUUUAUUUAGUGUAUUCCAAAUUAUAGGUCUUUAAUCUAGAUCUAAACUGACAGAGUGUGUCUGCCUCCCAACAACGCUAGGUAGAUUGUUCCAGAGUUUGGGCUCUAAUUAGGAAAAGGAUCUUCCUCCCACAGUUUAUUUUGAUAUUCUAGGUAUUGUCAAAUUGCCAGAGUUUUGAGAUUGCAGCAGACGUGAAGGACUAUAAUGUGAUAUGAACUCACUCAAGUAUUGAGGAGCUAAACCAUUCAGGGCUUCAUAAAUAUUUAGCAAGAUUUUAAAAUGUUUUCGUUGUACAUUAGGGAGCCAGUCCAGAGGUGACAGAACCGGGUUAAUAUGGUCAUAUGGUUCUAGUAACAACUCUAGCUGUUGCAUUUUUAACCAGCAGGAGUUUGUUUAUUGAGCGCACAGGGCAACCACCCAAUAAAGCAUUACAAUAAUCUAAUUUACUUUGAUGUGUUGACUUACAUACUAAAGCAUACAAUAUGUUAAGAACUUGUUUAUAUUUUUAACUGUAGUGUGUUAUUU
ensembl:lncRNA